GUGGAGCAUGUGGUUUAAUUCGAUGCAACGCGAAGAACCUUACCUGGCCUUGACAUCCAGAGAACUUAGCAGAGAUGCUUUGGUGCCUUCGGGAACUCUGAGACAGGUGCUGCAUGGCUGUCGUCAGCUCGUGUUGUGAAAUGUUGGGUUAAGUCCCGCAACGAGCGCAACCCUUAUCCUUUGUUGCCAGCGGUUCGGCCGGGAACUCAAAGGAGACUGCCGGUGAUAAACCGGAGGAAGGUGGGGAUGACGUCAAGUCAUCAUGGCCCUUACGGCCAGGGCUACACACGUGCUACAAUGGCGCAUGCAAAGAGAAGCGACCUCGCGAGAGCAAGCGGACCUCAUAAAGUGCGUCGUAGUCCGGAUUGGAGUCUGCAACUCGACUCCAUGAAGUCGGAAUCGCUAGUAAUCGUAGAUCAGAAUGCUACGGUGAAUACGUUCCCGGGCCUUGUACACACCGCCCGUCACACCAUGGGAGUGGGUUGCAAAAGAAGUAGGUAGCUUAACCUCCGGGAGGGCGCUUACCACUUUGUGAUUCAUGACUGGGGUGAAGUCGUAACAAGGUAACCAAGGGCGAAUUCCAG
rnacentral:rRNA from 1 species